UACAGAGGGGGCAAGCGUUAUUCGGAAUUAUUGGGCGUAAAGGGCGCGUAGGCGGCUAGAUAAGUCCGGUGUGAAAGUCACAGGCUCAACCUGUGAAUGCCGCUGGAAACUGUCUGGCUAGAGUCCGGAAGGGGCGAGUGGAAUUCCUGGUGUAGCGGUGAAAUGCGCAGAUAUCAGGAGGAACACCAAUGGCGAAGGCAGCUCGCUGGGACGGUACUGACGCUGAGGCGCGAAAGCGUGGGGAGCAAACAGG
rnacentral:rRNA from 1 species